rnacentral:rRNA from 1 species
CGUUAGCACAGAAGAAGCACCGGCUAACUCCGUGCCAGCAGCCGCGGUAAUACGGAGGGUGCGAGCGUUAAUCGGAAUUACUGGGCGUAAAGCGCAUGCAGGUGGUUUGUUAAGUCAGAUGUGAAAGACCCGGGGCGUCAACCUCGGAACUAGCAUUUGAAACUGGCAGACUAGAGUACUGUAGAGGGGGGUAGGAAUUUCAGGUGUAGCGGUGAAAUGCGUAGAGAUCUGAAGGAAUACCGGUGGCGAAGGCGGCCCCCUGGACAGAUACUGACACUCAGAUGCGAAAGCGUGGGGAGCAAACAGGAUUAGAUACCCUGGUAG